CGCGCUAUCUGCAGUCGAGGGGCAGCACAGGUAGCAAUACUGGGUGGCGACCGGCAAACGGGUGCGGAACACGUACGCAACCUUCCUCCAAGUGGGGCAUAGCCCGAAGAAAUUCGGAUUAAUACCCCGUAAUAUUGUUGAGUGGCAUCACUUGACAAUUAAAGAACUUCGCUUGGAGAUGGGCGUGCGCCUGAUUAGGUAGUUGGUGAGGUAACGGCUCACCAAGCCGACGAUCAGUAACUGGCGUGAGAGCGCGACCAGUCACACGGGCACUGAGACACGGGCCCGACUCCUACGGGAGGCAGCAGUAAGGAAUAUUGGUCAAUGGACGCAAGUCUGAACCAGCCAUGCCGCGUGGAGGAUGAAGGUCCUCUGGAUUGUAAACUUCUUUUAUCUGGGAAGAAACCACUUUUUUCUAAGGGUGUUGACGGUACCAGAUGAAUAAGCACCGGCUAACUCCGUGCCAGCAGCCGCGGUAAUACGGAGGGUGCAAGCGUUAUCCGGAUUCACUGGGUUUAAAGGGUGCGUAGGCGGGACUGUAAGUCCGUGGUGAAAUCUCCGAGCUUAACUCGGAAACUGCCGUGGAUACUAUAGUCCUUGAAUGUUGUGGAGGUUAGCGGAAUAUGUCAUGUAGCGGUGAAAUGCAUAGAUAUGACAUAGAACACCAAUUGCGAAGGCAGCUGGCUACACAAAUAUUGACGCUGAGGCACGAAAGCGUGGGGAUCAAACAGGAUUAGAUACCCUGGUAGUCCACGCCCUAAACGAUGAUUACUCGACAUUUGCGAUAUACAGUAAGUGUCUGAGCGAAAGCAUUAAGUAAUCCACCUGGGAAGUACGACCGCAAGGUUGA
rnacentral:rRNA from 1 species